rnacentral:tRNA from 1 species
GGAUUGUGGGCUCAGUGGUAGAGUACUCACCUUGCAUGCGCGAGGCACUGGGUUUGAUCCUCAGCACCA